rnacentral:rRNA from 1 species
CCUACCAUGGUGGUAACGGGUAACGGGGAAUUAGGGUUCGAUUCCGGAGAGGGAGCCUGARGAAACGGCUACCACAUCCAAGGAAGGCAGCAGGCGCGCAAAUUACCCAAUCCCGACACGGGGAGGUAGUGACAAUAAAUAACAACACAGGGCUCUUUUGGGUCUUGUUAUUGGAAUGAGUACGAUUUAAAUCUCCUAACGAGGAACAAUUGGAGGGCAAGUCUGGUGCCAGCAGCCGCGGUAAUUCCAGCUCCAAUAGCGUAUAUUAAAGUUGUUGCAGUUAAAAAGCUCGUAGUUGAAUUUCAGGCCUGGCUGGACGGUCCGCCCUUCGGGUGAGUACUGUCUGUGGUCGGGUCCUACCUUCUGGCGAAGCGUCAUGGCCUUAACCGGCCGUGGCGGGGAACCAGGACUUUUACUGUGAAAAAAUUAGAGUGUUCAAAGCAGGCAAAUACGCUUGGAUACAUUAGCAUGGAAUAAUGGAAUAGGACAAUGGUUCUAUUUGUUGGUUUCUAGGACCGUUGUAAUGAUUAAUAGGGAUAGUUGGGGGCAUUAGUAUUCAAUUGUCAGAGGUGAAAUUCUUGGAUUUAUUGAAGACUAACUACUGCGAAAGCAUUUGCCAAGGAUGUUUUCAUUAAUCAAGAACGAAAGUUAGGGGAUCGAAGACGAUCAGAUACCGUUCGUAGUCUUAACCCAUAAACUAUGCCGACUAGGAAUCGGGCGAUGUU